UACGUAGGGGGCUAGCGUUGUCCGGAAUCAUUGGGCGUAAAGCGCGCGCAGGCGGCUCGUCAAGCCUGACGUGAAAGCCCCCGGCUCAACCGGGGAGGGUCGUCGGGGACUGGCGGGCUUGAGGUCGGCAGGGGCUGGUGGAAUUCCCGGUGUAGUGGUGAAAUGCGUAGAGAUCGGGAGGAACACCCGUGGCGAAGGCGGCCAGCUGGGCCGGACCUGACGCUGAGGCGCGAAGGCGUGGGGAGCGAACAGG
rnacentral:rRNA from 1 species